rnacentral:rRNA from 1 species
AUUGAACGCUGGCGACACGCUUUACACAUGCAAGUCGAACGGUAACAGGGUGCUUGCACCGCUGACGAGUGGCGAACGGGUGAGUAAUGCGUCGGAACGCACCGAGUAAUGGGGGAUAACGCAGCGAAAGCUGUGCUAAUACCGCAUACGCUCUGAGGAGGAAAGCGGGGGACCUUCGGGCCUCGCGUUAUUCGAGCGGCCGACGUCUGAUUAGCUAGUAGGUGAGGUAAGAGCUCACCUAGGCGACGAUCAGUAGCGGGUCUGAGAGGAUGAUCCGCCACACUGGGACUGAGACACGGCCCAGACUCCUACGGGAGGCAGCAGUGGGGAAUUUUGGACAAUGGGCGCAAGCCUGAUCCAGCCAUGCCGCGUGUCUGAAGAAGGCCUUCGGGUUGUAAAGGACUUUUGUCAGGGAGGAAAUCCCUAGCGCUAAUACCGUUGAGGGAUGACAGUACCUGAAGAAUAAGCACCGGCUAACUACGUGCCAGCCGCCGCCGUAA